GUUAGCCUACGGGACGCAGCAGUGAGGAAUAUUGGUCAAUGGGCGGAAGCCUGAACCAGCCAAGUCGCGUGAGGGAAUAAGGCCCUACGGGUCGUAAACCUCUUUUGCCGGGGAGCAAGGGCCGGGACGCGUCCCGGCCCGGAGAGUACCCGGAGAAAAAGCAUCGGCUAACUCCGUGCCAGCAGCCGCGGUAAUACGGAGGAUGCGAGCGUUAUCCGGAUUUAUUGGGUUUAAAGGGUGCGUAGGCGGGCUUUUAAGUCAGCGGUCAAAGCCCGGGGCUCAACCCCGGCCCGCCGUUGAAACUG
rnacentral:rRNA from 1 species